GCUGUAGCCCAGUGGUAGAGCAUCUGCUCUGUGUGCAGAAGGUCCCAGGUUCAAUCCCCAACAUCUCCA